UACGAAGGGGGCUAGCGUUGCUCGGAAUCACUGGGCGUAAAGCGCACGUAGGCGGCUUAUUAAGUCAGGGGUGAAAUCCUGGAGCUCAACUCCAGAACUGCCUUUGAUACUGAUGAGCUUGAGUUCGGGAGAGGUGAGUGGAACUGCGAGUGUAGAGGUGAAAUUCGUAGAUAUUCGCAAGAACACCAGUGGCGAAGGCGGCUCACUGGCCCGAUACUGACGCUGAGGUGCGAAAGCGUGGGUAGCAAACAGGA
rnacentral:rRNA from 1 species